GUGCUUGCUUCAGCAGCACAUAUACUAAAAUUGGAAAGAUACAGAGAAGAUUAGCAUGGCUCCUGCGCAAGGAUGAUACCCAAAUUCGUGAAGCAUUCCAUAUUUUA
rnacentral:snRNA from 1 species